rnacentral:tRNA from 2 species
GGGCUCGUAGCUCAGGGGUUAGAGCGUUGCACUGACAUUGCAAAGGUCGCUGGUUCAAGUCCAGCCGAGCCCA